AAACACAAGCACACACUAGAGUACAUUUCAUACCUCUACUGUAGGUCCAAUGACCCACACAGCAAACCAUCUUUGAUGCUAGCAUUGUAUCUAGUAGCUUGAACCUUAACAACAUCCAAACACUGAGACAGACACACUUCUGAAAGCCUCUAGUGUGGAACUGGCAGUCUGAGAAUCUCUUUUUUUUCUUCGAUCUUCUAUAGUGUGAUAGUUUGGAAAAUAUAGAAGAGUCGUCACAAAAGCAUCAGACAAGACAACAGGAACUAGUUAAAGUUUAUUGUAAGUCGCUUUGGAUAAAAGCGUCAGCUAAAUGCAAUGUAAUGUAAUGUAAGUAAUGGGAAUCCGCCAAAUGUAAACAAAAUGUUCAGGUCAUCAAACCAUCUGUCAAACUCUCUCUCCCUCUACCUUUCUUUCUCUCUCAGUCUUCACUGGCCAACAAUGAUUCCCAAAUAUUGUUUGUUUGAGUUUAGUUUGAUGCCACAGCUGACUUUAACCCUUAAAGGCCGAGCGUGCCGCCCGCGGCUUCAAAGAGGUAGCGUUCUAAAAUGCUUAAUAACUUUGUAACCGCUAAUCCUAUCCAUCUGAUUUAAAAAGUGAGGUAAAGCGGCUAUUCUAGGCUUUUUGCUGGUAUCACUAUGUCCUUUUCCGGGAUUCAGAGGCUCCGACGUGAUCGGGGCAACGUUAUCACAUUUUACAGCCUUGAUUCGUCAAGGAGACCCACGCGGCCCCUCUGUCUGAGCCAAACAGCAAAGGUUUUAGACUAAGUCCCACCCCCCUGUGUCCGGAUAGGUUUAAAAGGGUAAAGGUCCAGGCAAACCUCUGCCCAUGCUACCAUCUUCUCGACCAAUCAACAUAGGUUGCUGUGUAUGUUUUUGGCGGCGGGAGAUAAACAAAGAGAAACAGAGAGACGAGAGAGUAAUACUAAAGAAGAGUAAUUCUGCCAGCGUAAGAUAAAUAAAUACAACACGAGAUAUCUAGAUACAGUCACACACACACACAAAUACAGAUACAUACACACACACACAUAUCCCAAGACAAAUUCAAACCAACAUGUCAAAACGGCGUUACACUACGGAAGAAGCCGUAGAAUUUAUUUUGUCUGGCGGACCGCUUAGCGAUGCAGCGGUGGAUUCCUCAGAUAAUGAAGCUGACAACUUGCAAGGAAGAGGAGUAUGAUCACGGGAUUGAUCCCUUCGAAGAUAAAAAAUACAGAGGAUGAGAGAGGGGAUGCACAAGCCCCUGUCCCCAUCAGUAGGCCUCCUUCAAACCGAGAGGGAAAAGAAUGUGGCCAGGAGGGUGCAGCAUCCAGAAAAAAGGCCAAACCAAUGCCAGCCCCCCUGACAGUGAAAGGGAGAGGAAGAGGAAAAGGGAAAAAAACAUCUCUGACCCCAGAAGAGCCAGGAGCUGUUUGGAACGGACCUGAGGUGCCAGAUACUGCCCAACAACUACCACACUUUUGCCCGAAAAGAGCCCCUGGAGUCCAAGGUUUUGUUGGUGUGGAGUAUACUCCUGCACAAAUAUUUAGAAAUUGUUUUAACAACCAAGCUGUAAAUAUCAUCUGCAAGAACACAAACAAAAAUGCUGAAAAGGAGCAGGCUAAGGGGGAAAAGUUUGUUU